AGUGAACGCUGGCGGUAGGCCUAACACAUGCAAGUCGAACGGCAGCACAGGAGAGCUUGCUCUCUGGGUGGCGAGUGGCGGACGGGUGAGGAAUACAUCGGAAUCUACCUUUUCGUGGGGGAUAACGUAGGGAAACUUACGCUAAUACCGCAUACGACCUUCGGGUGAAAGCAGGGGACCUUCGGGCCUUGCGCGGAUAGAUGAGCCGAUGUCGGAUUAGCUAGUUGGCGGGGUAAAGGCCCACCAAGGCGACGAUCCGUAGCUGGUCUGAGAGGAUGAGCAGCCACACUGGAACUGAGACACGGUCCAGACUCCUACGGGAGGCAGCAGUGGGGAAUAUUGGACAAUGGGCGCAAGCCUGAUCCAGCCAUACCGCGUGGGUGAAGAAGGCCUUCGGGUUGUAAAGCCCUUUUGUUGGGAAAGAAAAGCAGCCAGUUAAUACCUGGUUGUUCUGACGGUACCCAAAGAAUAAGCACCGGCUAACUUCGUGCCAGCCGCCGCCGUAAUAC
rnacentral:rRNA from 1 species